rnacentral:rRNA from 1 species
GGGUUGUGAGGUUAAGCGACUAAGCGUACACGGUGGAUGCCCUGGCAGUCAGAGGCGAUGAAGGACGUGCUAAUCUGCGAUAAGCGUCGGUAAGGUGAUAUGAACCGUUAUAACCGGCGAUUUCCGAAUGGGGAAACCCAGUGUGAUUCGUCACACUAUCAUUAACUGAAUCCAUAGGUUAAUGAGGCGAACCGGGGGAACUGAAACAUCUAAGUACCCCGAGGAAAAGAAAUCAACCGAGAUUCCCCCAGUAGCGGCGAGCGAACGGGGAGCAGCCCAGAGCCUGAAUCAGUGUGUGUGUUAGUGGAAGCGUCUGGAAAGGCGCGCGAUACAGGGUGACAGCCCCGUACACAAAAAUGCACAUGCUGUGAGCUCGAUGAGUAGGGCGGGACACGUGGUAUCCUGUCUGAAUAUGGGGGGACCAUCCUCCAAGGCUAAAUACUCCUGACUGACCGAUAGUGAACCAGUACCGUGAGGGAAAGGCGAAAAGAACCCCGGCGAGGGGAGUGAAAAAGAACCUGAAACCGUGUACGUACAAGCAGUGGGAGCCUCUUAAUGGGGUGACUGCGUACCUUUUGUAUAAUGGGUCAGCGACUUAUAUUCUGUAGCAAGGUUAACCGAAUAGGGGAGCCGAAGGGAAACCGAGUCUUAACUGGGCGUUAAGUUGCAGGGUAUAGACCCGAAACCCGGUGAUCUAGCCAUGGGCAGGUUGAAGGUUGGGUAACACUAACUGGAGGACCGAACCGACUAAUGUUGAAAAAUUAGCGGAUGACUUGUGGCUGGGGGUGAAAGGCCAAUCAAACCGGGAGAUAGCUGGUUCUCCCCGAAAGCUAUUUAGGUAGCGCCUCGUGAAUUCAUCUCCGGGGGUAGAGCACUGUUUCGGCAAGGGGGUCAUCCCGACUUACCAACCCGAUGCAAACUGCGAAUACCGGAGAAUGUUAUCACGGGAGACACACGGCGGGUGCUAACGUCCGUCGUGAAGAGGGAAACAACCCAGACCGCCAGCUAAGGUCCCAAAGUCAUGGUUAAGUGGGAAACGAUGUGGGAAGGCCCAGACAGCCAGGAUGUUGGCUUAGAAGCAGCCAUCAUUUAAAGAAAGCGUAAUAGCUCACUGGUCGAGUCGGCCUGCGCGGAAGAUGUAACGGGGCUAAACCAUGCACCGAAGCUGCGGCAGCGACACUUAUGUGUUGUUGGGUAGGGGAGCGUUCUGUAAGCCUGCGAAGGUGUGCUGUGAGGCAUGCUGGAGGUAUCAGAAGUGCGAAUGCUGACAUAAGUAACGAUAAAGCGGGUGAAAAGCCCGCUCGCCGGAAGACCAAGGGUUCCUGUCCAACGUUAAUCGGGGCAGGGUGAGUCGACCCCUAAGGCGAGGCCGAAAGGCGUAGUCGAUGGGAAACAGGUUAAUAUUCCUGUACUUGGUGUUACUGCGAAGGGGGGACGGAGAAGGCUAUGUUGGCCGGGCGACGGUUGUCCCGGUUUAAGCGUGUAGGCUGGUUUUCCAGGCAAAUCCGGAAAAUCAAGGCUGAGGCGUGAUGACGAGGCACUACGGUGCUGAAGCAACAAAUGCCCUGCUUCCAGGAAAAGCCUCUAAGCAUCAGGUAACAUCAAAUCGUACCCCAAACCGACACAGGUGGUCAGGUAGAGAAUACCAAGGCGCUUGAGAGAACUCGGGUGAAGGAACUAGGCAAAAUGGUGCCGUAACUUCGGGAGAAGGCACGCUGAUAUGUAGGUGAAGUCCCUUGCGGAUGGAGCUGAAAUCAGUCGAAGAUACCAGCUGGCUGCAACUGUUUAUUAAAAACACAGCACUGUGCAAACACGAAAGUGGACGUAUACGGUGUGACGCCUGCCCGGUGCCGGAAGGUUAAUUGAUGGGGUUAGCGGUAACGCGAAGCUCUUGAUCGAAGCCCCGGUAAACGGCGGCCGUAACUAUAACGGUCCUAAGGUAGCGAAAUUCCUUGUCGGGUAAGUUCCGACCUGCACGAAUGGCGUAAUGAUGGCCAGGCUGUCUCCACCCGAGACUCAGUGAAAUUGAACUCGCUGUGAAGAUGCAGUGUACCCGCGGCAAGACGGAAAGACCCCGUGAACCUUUACUAUAGCUUGACACUGAACAUUGAGCCUUGAUGUGUAGGAUAGGUGGGAGGCUUUGAAGUGUGGACGCCAGUCUGCAUGGAGCCGACCUUGAAAUACCACCCUUUAAUGUUUGAUGUUCUAACGUUGGCCCCUAAUCGGGGUUGCGGACAGUGUCUGGUGGGUAGUUUGACUGGGGCGGUCUCCUCCUAAAGAGUAACGGAGGAGCACGAAGGUUGGCUAAUCCUGGUCGGACAUCAGGAGGUUAGUGCAAUGGCAUAAGCCAGCUUGACUGCGAGCGUGACGGCGCGAGCAGGUGCGAAAGCAGGUCAUAGUGAUCCGGUGGUUCUGAAUGGAAGGGCCAUCGCUCAACGGAUAAAAGGUACUCCGGGGAUAACAGGCUGAUACCGCCCAAGAGUUCAUAUCGACGGCGGUGUUUGGCACCUCGAUGUCGGCUCAUCACAUCCUGGGGCUGAAGUAGGUCCCAAGGGUAUGGCUGUUCGCCAUUUAAAGUGGUACGCGAGCUGGGUUUAGAACGUCGUGAGACAGUUCGGUCCCUAUCUGCCGUGGGCGCUGGAGAACUGAGGGGGGCUGCUCCUAGUACGAGAGGACCGGAGUGGACGCAUCACUGGUGUUCGGGUUGUCAUGCCAAUGGCACUGCCCGGUAGCUAAAUGCGGAAGAGAUAAGUGCUGAAAGCAUCUAAGCACGAAACUUGCCCCGAGAUGAGUUCUCCCUGACUCCCUGAGAGUCCUGAAGGAACGUUGAAGACGACGACGUUGAUAGGCCGGGUGUGUAAGCGCAGCGAUGCGUUGAGCUAACCGGUACUAAUGAACCGUGAGGCUUAACCUUACAACGCCGAAG